rnacentral:lncRNA from 1 species
GCUUCCAGCUUAAUGUUGUUUUCUUUUUGGCUGUGAAUUAGGGUCCUGAGGCUUCAUUUUUCCCUGCAUACUAUAUUGUAUGUGAAAAUUGUUGUUCAGGAUCUCAAGUUGUUUAUUUACUCCAGCUACAUCUCCAUUUGGAGUGGCUUCUGGAAGGCUGGAAUUGAAAUCCACCAGUGCCCAUUUCAAGGUGUUCCCAACAUCGCCUGGAAAAAAAGGAGCCCAGAUACGCUUCCCUGUGGAUGCAGAAGAACUUCAGCGAGAGAGGGGCUAUCCCUGCUGCCUUGUGGCUGCAGAAGGAGAGAGAAGGAGCCUCUUCUAAAAAGGGUUUCGUGAAAGCCCUGAGGCGAGAUACCCACUUCAGAGGGUUCAGGACAAGGACACUCACUUUGUUCUGUGCGGUGUGGAGACACGGGCGAGCGUUCCUCAGUGGUGCCAACUGGUUCUCUCUCGUCCUCAGCUGCCAGUGCUCUGGGGCAUGUCAUUUGGACAGAACACUUUUCCAUGUGCUGCCAUCCAUUCCACGGAGGCAGGAGAAAAGGAUCUGCAGGCAGGAACAUAAGGCUGAUUCACCCUGACUUCGGAGAACGAAAUCAAAUGGAAACUCUUGGGCUAUGACAGGAAAUAUCCUCUCCAUUUACACAGGGCAUACACCGAGUACAUGACAUUGUAAUUGUACUUCCUCCUUUUCAUUUACAUAGGGUGCACACCAAGUAACCAAAGGACACCUCUAGAGGGGAUUCAAACUCCAGAAACUUCAGCAACGGGCUCCCUGUGCUCAGGCGCUCCCACCCUGUGGAGUGUGCUUUCAUUUUCCGUCAAUCUCUGCUUUGCUGCUUCAUUCUUUCCUUGCUCCAUUUUUGCGUUGUGUCCGAGUCUUGGUUCAAGGCACCAAGAACCUGGAAACCUUCAACCAGUAACAUUAUCUUAAUAUCUUGUUUUAAAACUGAAUUCUGUUUUUCAUCUGUUCACCUAGUUUUUAGAAAAUUACAGUGAAAUGCAGCUUGGAACUUACCACAGCUUAAUACGAGGGUCACUAUGAGCUAUACGACAGGUUUGAUGUUUAAAAGUUUGCAACAUUUUUUAUUGCUCUUUCAUUUACAAACUACAGUAAAUAUUUUAUUUUUUAUGUUUAAUUUUGAAAUAUAUGACACGUAAGAGUCUAUAAAAUUUGGCUGGGCACGGUGGCUCAUGCCUGUAACCCCAACACUUUCGGAGGCUGAGGCAGGUGGAUCAUUUGAGGUCAAGUGUUCAAGACCAGCCUGGCCAACAUGGUGAAACCCGUCUCUACUAAAAAAAUACAAAAAGUUGGCUGAGCAUCAUGGCAGGCACCUGUGAUCCCAGCUACUCAGGAGGCUGAGGUGGGAGAAUUGUUUGAACCCGGGAAAGAGGAGUUGCAGUGAGCUGAGAUCAUACCAUUACACUCUAGACUGGGCAACAUGAGCAAAACUCUGCCUAAAAAACCAACCAACAAACAAAACUGAAUGCAGAAUACCAAAGAUUAGUAAUUUCACUGAUGCCGUCAUCCAUUAGCAUCAACUGUCUUGAAAGGCUACAAUAUGCCCUUCCUUGAUCACCUGGGUCUCCCUUCUUCACCCAGAGAUAGGACUAAUGUGUUAAUGUUUGUCUUGCUUUUCAUAAGGUUUAUCAUUUCUCUGUAUAUUAUGAAGCCAUGUCAUAUGUUAUAGUUUGUGAACUGUAUAUGGAAUAGCGGUGUAUUUUUCAGUAAUUUCCUUUGUUCACUGUAAUUUUUCAUUGUUGAUGCUUCUAACUGCAGUUCAUUUUCACAGCUGUAUCAUAUUCCACAAUGUGACUAUGCCAGCUUUUUUCCUUGAUAGAGGUGUGUUUGGAUGGCUUUCAGGUGUUUUCUAUUUCUACAAUCACUGCCUAAAUAUUCUUGUCCCAUACGUUUCUCUUGGAGAAGAUAGUGAAAGGGCAUUUCUGGGGCAGACAUCCCUGACAAGGCAAGUGUGAAGCCACAGAGGGGCGUGUCUAGCUUUUUAUGAAAUACAGUCUCAUAACAGGAGCAACAGCAGUGGAUCCUUUGCCACCAGUUGAUCUUUUCCACCUUUUGGAUUUUUGUGACUCUGCUGAAUUUGUUUCUUGAAUUAUUGGAUGUAUCCAC